rnacentral:tRNA from 2 species
UGGGAGGUCGUUCAAUGGUAGGACAACUGGCUCUGGACCAGUGAAUCGGGGUUCGAGUCCCUGCCUCCCAGCCA